AGUUUAUUAGGUUUGUAAAGAACUCAACAGAUUAUCUUGUUUAAAAGCACUUUAAUUUUUUUUUUUUUAAGUUUUCCCUAACAUAUGGGGAAGGGAGAAACAGCUCCCCCGGGGCCACCUAGAGAGUCCAGUUUUCUUUUUAUUACUCUAUGCAAAGAUUCUCAGACAAUCUUGGUUGUAAAGCGUGUAUCUUUAUAUUCUUUUUCCUUUCAUUUUGUAUAACCACAGGGAGAACAACCUGGGAAGUAAAUGUUCUUUUGCCAUGCUUUAUCCAGAGUGCUUGGUUUGUACGAGUGUCUGCAAGCUGACUCCUGGAAACGGAGAAUCACCUGCUGCCCCAAACAGUCAGAAAUCCAGCAUCCCCCAGGACUGGGCAACUGCCAGAAUCUCUGUUCUGCAGCACAGCAUUUGGACAAAGACUCAAAAAUGUACCAAUUGCUAAGGUUUCCUCUCUGCAUUGGACCUUCCUGAUACCAGACCUUGCAAAUUCCAGCUGACUCAGCAUACCCAAAUGGUGCUCUGUAAGAACACUGGGCCUCACUUUCCUGUGCUGUAGGUAAGAAAGUUCAGGAAACUGAAUGCUGAGUUCACUGCAUUAUUUCCUUUCUUUCAAGGACCACAGCCCUGCACUUGCCCGACUCCAAAAAGUAGUCACUUUAUAUGUUUUGUCCAUUUCUUACUUUUUGUAUGGGUUAGGGGAGGGCAGAUCCAAUAUCCAUUAUUCCUCCGUGGCUAGAAUUAGAAAUCACUUUGUUUUGAAUCAUUUAAAAAACUAAUAAAUUAUCUGAAAGCAUUUAAACAAUAUGAGAUCAACCCAGACAGUGUCAGUUUGGCAUUCUACUAUUUUAGUGAAACUACAACUUAUGUAAAUAAUCUCUAUAAAUGUAAGUUUAUAAAUGUAAUGCACAUUUAUUAAAUUGUGAAAAAUAUAAUGCAUUUAUUUGAAUAAAUUCAAAAAUAUUUAUUGAAAUUUUUAUAGAAAGCAACUUUGAUUUUACAAAACUUUCUGUCAAAUUUACCUGGAUAUGCUGCCUUUCAAUUGUAUUUAAUAUCUGUAGUUAUCCUGCUGUUCUAUGUAAUUAACAUAACUAAAAAUGUUAAGGUACAACACAGUACAAUAGUUUCCCCUUAUCAGUGCUGUAUAUGUUUCAGGAUCCCCAGUGGAUGUCUGAAACCAUGGAUAGUACUGAACCCUGUAUCUACUAUGUCUUUUCCUAUAUGAACGUACCUAUGAUAGUUUAAUUUACAAAUUAGGCACAGUAAGAAAUUAACAAUAGUAACUAAUAACCAAAUAGAAUGAUUAUAGCAAAUAUUGUAAUAAAAGUUAUGUGAAUGUGACAUCUCUCUCAAAAUACCUCAUUGUACUGUACUCAUCCUUCUUCUUGUGAUGGUAUAAGAUGAUAAAGUGCCUACAUGAUGAGUUGCAGUUAGGUGAAGUUGGCUCUGUGACAUAGUGUUAGGCUAUUAUUCAUCUUCUGACAAUACAUCAGAAGGAUUGUCUGCUUCUGGACCACAGUUGACCACAGGUAACUGAAACCAAAACCUCAGGUAAAGGGAAAAUGCUGUAUGUAUUGCAUAUAAUCCAUUGAAAUCACAUCUUUAGAGUGUUACCUUUCUCUGUUAAAAGAAAAAGAUAAUAAAUAAUGAAGGGCCAGCUGCCACUUUGAAUUUCUAGCCUUACCAUUGCUUUGAUGCUCCAGAUAUGAAUUAGAAAAUUCUGCAAUAUGUACCAUAGUUUACAAGUCAAGAUUUACUUGUUAUGCACUUUUCUUGCAGAGCCCUGGGGUCUCAUGAGGAAUGAGCAAAGUUACUAUCUUCUGGAUGUAGAAGGUAUCUCCCAGAAAAGCAGGAAGAGAGGGAGUGGGGCAAGAUUGUGGUUUGGAGUCAGUCUAACGAGGAUGUAAAUAUUUUAUUGAGUAUAUCACUUUAGACAAAGUUUCUUAUUUCCCUGUGCCUUAUCUUCUAUUUUAAGCAUAAUGGAGGCAGAAUUUCCAACCUAAAUGAAUCGUUUUGAGAUUUAGAUGAUGUAGUAUAUACAAAGAACCCAUGUCAAUCCUGGGGCAUAGUAGAAACCCAUUGGUUGGGUGCAUCUAUUCUGUCCCUAUUCCAUUAUCAGCACUACUAAAAAAGUUUUCAUAUAUAUAUUUUAAUUUUAUAUGUGUGUAUUAUGUAUAUAUAAUAUAUAAUAUGGGCAUAUAUUUGUAGAAGAGAGAGUUAGAAGUUUUAAAUCACAUCUCCAUCCUGUGAAAUUGGAAAUUUACCACCUUUGUGCUUCAAUUUUCUAACCUACUCAAGAAGUGUUAAGUUCAGCUGCUUAGGAAGUUCCUGAGGAUGCAUUAGCUUUCUGCAGAAAAGUAGAGUUUUUGGAAACUCAGAGAAAGGAAAAAUGAAAUUCUGGGAAAUGAUUUAUUCAUGAAGGUCUUGCAGACGAAAGGCAUGGCUUUGGUACUACCUUUAACUGCCAUAUUCAUUUCCCAAAGUCUUAAGUUUGGGUUUCUCUCACAACCAUAAGUAUUUUUUGCUCUAAAAACAAAACAAGUAAACAUCUUGACUUGUAUAGAACCAGUCCCACAGCCAGGGUUACCUUUUUUGGAAGCUACAGUAUGCUUUGAUUCACUGUCACAGUCCAAAACAUAGUGCCUUUCAGGAGAAUGCUCCUUGGAGCAGGGAGUCCAAGUCCAGUUGGACAUCAGUGUGAACAUUGUCAUCAGCAUUGGCAAGAUCUUUUAACUUAAUGGAGGGGACAUCUAGUCACUGUGCCUUUCAGCAGGAGUGCCCUGUAGAGCAGUAACACAAGAUACCUGAAGUCUGAUGUUGAUAAACCUGAGUAUGUUCUCCUCUCCAUCUCAAAGUCCCAAAGCCCCCUUUUAGUCAGAAAGAAAGAGAUACUUUUAAAUAAAUGGGAGAAAUAGUAAA
rnacentral:lncRNA from 1 species